UCUUAAUUGACUUGGUAACGCAGCUAACGCGUGAAGUUGACCGCCUGGGGAGUACGGUCGCAAGAUUAAAACUCAAAGGAAUUGACGGGGACCCGCACAAGCGGUGGAUGAUGUGGAUUAAUUCGAUGCAACGCGAAAAACCUUACCUACCCUUGACAUGUCAGGAACCUCUGAGAGAUUAGAGGGUGCCCGAAAGGGAACCUGAACACAGGUGCUGCAUGGCUGUCGUCAGCUCGUGUCGUGAGAUGUUGGGUUAAGUCCCGCAACGAGCGCAACCCUUGUCAUUAGUUGCUACGAAAGGGCACUCUAAUGAGACUGCCGGUGACAAACCGGAGGAAGGUGGGGAUGACGUCAAGUCCUCAUGGCCCUUAUGGGUAGGGCUUCACACGUCAUACAAUGGUACAUACAGAGGGCUGCCAACCCGCGAGGGGGAGCUAAUCCCAGAAAGUGUAUCGUAGUCCGGAUUGGAGUCUGCAACUCGACUCCAUGAAGUUGGAAUCGCUAGUAAUCGCGGAUCAGCAUGUCGCGGUGAAUACGUUCCCGGGUCUUGUACACACCGCCCGUCACACCAUGGGAGCGGGUUUUACCAGAAGUAGGUAGCUUAACCGCAAGGAGGGCGCUUACCACGGUAGGAUUCGUGAAUGGGGUGAAGUCGUAACAAGGUA
rnacentral:rRNA from 1 species